GAUGAAUUCCAUAUAGAAAAGAAAAAAAUAGAAUCUGUUCUAUGCCAAUCUAGUUGAUGCAGGUUUAAACAGAAUUUUGACAAAACAGUGGUUGACUUGGUGACCACGUUCUAUUUUUAUUUAAAGGAUCCAUUCAUAAAAAUCCCCAGUUUGUGCUCGGACUUCGAAGUGACAGCUUCUAUUUUCCAAGGCUAACAACCUUUUUCAAAAAGCGAUUGCAAAAAUGUAUCAGUGUUCUCCUAACCCGGAGGACCACAACAAUGGCAGGAAGAGGGGGCAGAAGAGACGGCGGCAGCAACAGGACAGCAGUUCUGACAGCGAGGAGGAACCUGGGCCGUCUAGGCCGCGUUCAUCAGCCACUGCACCCCCGCCUGCUAGUCUGUGGGUGCAGCUGGACAGCAGCUCCGACAGCGAGGAGGAACCUGGGCCGUCUAGGCCGCGUCCAUCAGCCGCUGCACCCCCGCCUGCUAGUCUGUGGGUGCAGCUGGACAGCAGCUCCGACAGCGAGGAGGAAUCUGGUCCUUCUAGGCCGCGUCCAUCAGCUGCUGCACCCCCGCCUGCUAGUCUGUGGGUGCAGCUGGACAGCAGUUCUGACAGCGAGGAGGAACCUGGGCCGUCUAGGCCGCGUCCAUCAGCCGCUGCACCCCCGCCUGCUAGGUUGUGGGUGCAGCUGGACAGCAGUUCUGACAGCGAGGAGGAAACUCCUCUGCUGAGGAUGCGGCGUCUGGCAGCCGCUGCUCGUCCGUCGGAUGUUCUACCUCCAGCCCCCCAGGAGCCGCUGUCCCUCUUGGAGAGUCUGCUCCUGCUGGUUGCAGAGGCUCACGUGCUCGUGGAUCCGUUCACUGUAGCAGAAACACAAACUUCUUUAAAAAAUCAGUAA
rnacentral:lncRNA from 1 species